rnacentral:tRNA from 2 species
UCUGGUUUAGCAUAUAAAAAUGCAAAGGAUUGUAAAUCCUUGUAAAGCUUGAUAAGCUAGCUAGGU